rnacentral:rRNA from 1 species
AGUGAACGCUGGCGGUAGGCCUAACACAUGCAAGUCGAACGGCAGCACAGUAAGAGCUUGCUCUUACGGGUGGCGAGUGGCGGACGGGUGAGGAAUACAUCGGAAUCUACUUUUUCGUGGGGGAUAACGUAGGGAAACUUACGCUAAUACCGCAUACGACCUACGGGUGAAAGCAGGGGAUCUUCGGACCUUGCGCGAUUGAAUGAGCCGAUGUCGGAUUAGCUAGUUGGCGGGGUAAGGGCCCACCAAGGCGACGAUCCGUAGCUGGUCUGAGAGGAUGAUCAGCCACACUGGAACUGAGACACGGUCCAGACUCCUACGGGAGGGAGCAGUGGGGAAUAUUGGACAAUGGGCGCAAGCCUGAUCCAGCCAUACCGCGUGGGUGAAGAAGGCCUUCGGGUUGUAAAGCCCUUUUGUUGGGAAAGAAAAGCAGCAGGUUAAUACCCCGCUGUUCUGACGGUACCCAAAGAAUAAGCACCGGCUAACUUCGUG